rnacentral:rRNA from 1 species
UACGUAGGGGGGCAAGCGUUGUCCGGAAUUAUUGGGCGUAAAGAGCUCGUAGGCGGUCUGUCGCGUCUGCUGUGAAAACUCAGGGCUUAACCCUGAGCUUGCAGUGGGUACGGGCAGACUAGAGUGCGGUAGGGGGAGACUGGAAUUCCUGGUGUAGCGGUGAAAUGCGCAGAUAUCAGGAGGAACACCGGUGGCGAAGGCGGGGUCUCUGGGCCGUAACUGACGCUGAGGAGCGAAAGCAUGGGGAGCGAACAGG